rnacentral:SRP_RNA from 1 species
CGUUGGUCCUGUGCGAUGCGGCCCGUGAACCCCGUCAGGUCCGGAAGGAAGCAGCGGUAAGCGGAGUCUUUUGGGUGCCAUGGGGUCACUGGAC